rnacentral:rRNA from 1 species
UUGUUGGUAAGGUAAAGGCUUACCAAGGCUUCGAUCAGUAGCUGGUCUGAGAGGACGGCCAGCCACACUGGGACUGAGACACGGCCCAGACUCCUACGGGAGGCAGCAGUGGGGAAUUUUGGACAAUGGGGGAAACCCUGAUCCAGCCAUGCCGCGUGAGUGAAGAAGGCCUUCGGGUUGUAAAGCUCUUUCAGCCGGAACGAAACGGUUACGGAUAAUACCCGUGACUACUGACGGUACCGGAAGAAGAAGCACCGGCUAACUACGUGCCAGCAGCCGCGGUAAUACGUAGGGUGCGAGCGUUAAUCGGAAUUACUGGGCGUAAAGCGUGCGCAGGUGGUUUUGUAAGUCAGAUGUGAAAGCCCCGGGCUCAACCUGGGAACUGCGUUUGAAACUACAAGACUAGAGUGUGGCAGAGGGGGGUGGAAUUCCGCGUGUAGCAGUGAAAUGCGUAGAGAUGUGGAGGAACACCGAUGGCGAAGGCAGCCCCCUGGGUUAACACUGACACUCAGGCACGAAAGCAUGGGGAGCAAACAGGAUUAGAUACCCUGGUAGUCCAUGCCCUAAACGAUGUCAACUAGUUGUCGGGCCUUUACGGGCUUGGUAACGUAGCUAACGCGUGAAGUUGACCGCCUGGGGAGUACGAUCGCAAGAUUAAAACUCAAAUGAAUUGACGGGGACCCGCACAAGCGGUGGAUUAUGUGGAUUAAUUCGAUGCAACGCGAAAAACCUUACCUACCCUUGACAUGUAUCGAAGCCCGCAGAAAAGCGGGGGUGCCCGAAAGGGAACGAUAACACAGGUGCUGCAUGGCUGUCGUCAGCUCGUGUCGUGAGAUGUUGGGUUAAGUCCCGCAACGAGCGCAACCCUUGUCAUUAAUUGCCAUCAUUUAGUUGGGCACUUUAAUGAGACUGCCGG